AUUGAACGCUGGCGGCAUGCCUUACACAUGCAAGUCGAACGGUAACAGGUCUUCGGAUGCUGACGAGUGGCGAACGGGUGAGUAAUACAUCGGAACGUGCCCAGUAAUGGGGGAUAGCCCGGCGAAAGCCGGAUUAAUACCGCAUACGCCCUGAGGGGGAACGUGGGGUCCGCAAGGCCUCACGUUAUUGCAGCGGCCGAUGGCUGAUAAGCUAGUUGGCAGGGUAAAGGCCUAGCAAGGCGACGAUAAGUAGCUGGUCUGAGAGGACGAUCAGCCACACUGGGACUGAGAAACGGCCCAGACUCCUACGGGAGGCAGCAGUGGGGAAUUUUGGACAAUGGGGGAAACCCUGAUCCAGCAAUGCCGCGUGUGCGAAGAAGGCCUUCGGGUUGUAAAGCACUUUUGUCAGGGAAGAAAUCCUUUGGGCUAAUACCCUAGGGGGAUGACGGUACCUGAAGAAUAAGCACCGGCUAACUACGUGCCAGCCGCCGCCGUAA
rnacentral:rRNA from 1 species